CCAGUGGGCCUCUGUGUCAGACAACAAUUCUGAGUGUGUGCCAAUAAGCAGUAGAGAUGGGGCAUCCAAGAGAGAUCAGCAUGGCGCAAAUGACAGGUUGAGAGACACAUUGGUAUGCUGUCCCUCUGAAGCCACCAGUACCUCUUAGGCCAAGGGACCAAGAACUGGACCACGGCCUCAGUAAUCAGAGAUGCCAAAAGAUGCUUGAGAACAAGAUGUGCAGCUGAUUAUUCUGAGCAUGGAGAAAGCUGCAAGAGAUUACAGCGAAGGGAAAGGCCUACACCAAAGGUAUCAAACCAGGAGAUUCCAUGAAGGUGGAACCAGAGGGACAAACUGUGCUGAUCUAAGAAUCCAGGACUCAUCCCACAGGUGAUGCUAAAUUUGGUAGGUACAAUAGCGGAUGGUUUUUAAUGGUGUCUGAUG